rnacentral:rRNA from 1 species
UACGAAGGGGGGCGAGCGUUGUCCGGAAUUACUGGGCGUAAAGAGUUCGUAGGCGGUUUGUCGCGUCGUCUGUGAAAACCCAUCGCUCAACGAUGGGCCGGCAGGCGAUACGGGCAGACUUGAGUACUGCAGGGGAGACUGGAAUUCCUGGUGUAGCGGUGAAAUGCGCAGAUAUCAGGAGGAACACCGGUGGCGAAGGCGGGUCUCUGGGCAGUAACUGACGCUGAGGAACGAAAAGCGUGGGUAGCAA